AAUAGAAUAAAGGAAGGUCAACUAAAACGUUUCUAAAAUAUCCUGGAAUUAGCCUAAAAUAUUAAGAGUGUCUGUCUGGAGUUGCUAUAUAAAACGGAAAGAAAACAGCACCAUAUGUGCGUGCGUUGGGGUUAAAGUGUCGUGUUACCUUCAAGGAUUUUAUCAUAAAACAGGGCUGUAUCGUUUACGAGAGCCAACAUGUAAUGUUUAAAGGGCAUGUGAGAUGAGCUUCGAUUGUAAAUUACUGUCUGUGUGAUGGGCAAAGAUGGCAGAAACUGAUAAGAGCGUGAUACGAAACAGAUGAGUUCAAGCGAUUUACUUUGGAAAAUUACAUUAAGGAAUAACUUAGAAGAGAUGCUCUUUUAAUAUCUAAGACUAUGUCUUUUAAUACCUUAGCAGGUUUCUCGUAGUAUUUAAGAAAACUGAUGAGAUACUGACCAGUACCUGUCACUAAACAAACGUUGGUGAAAUGGUCUUGAGGAUCUGAAGGGAGAAACUUUGGCGCUGUUUCUCCGCCCCUCAGCUAAUGCUCUCACCUAAUCCAGCGCGCCACAGCGGACCAGGCGCGCAGUCCGAUAAAUCUGGAUGCGUAAACCUUUUAGACAAGUUGUUUUAUGAAACACUAGCGUCAACCAUCUAAGUUCAUGUUUUGAUCUGUGAAGGGUCGUGUUUACCUCGUUCAGCUGAGUGAACGAGAAAGGUGACGUAUGAUCCUCAGGCAGCUCAUCAAAAAGGUCUGGCGACAGCAACGUCUCUGUAGAAGAUUGUAAUAAACGAAUGAUUUCAAGGACGUGGACAAGGACUGAGAUGCUGAGAGUGGAGAGGAAGAGUGACAUAAAGAGGAAAGAAGUUCAUUACCCAGCUGAAAAGGAGGCAAAUGGCUUUCAUAGUCGCCAUGGGAACAGGGCUUUCUCUCCCUGACAAACCUAUAAUAAGGUUGACCCUGACCUCUGUUGGUCAGAAGCUACUGAGAGAUCAAGUGCAUUGUUGAUUCCUGCUGAGCAGCUCAGAUCUGUUCUUCUGCUGUAAGGGCAACCGCCUAGGCCACGACAAACCACUGAGGACAGUGAUAAACAUGUCUCUUAAUUGACAUACACGCACAUUCUCUCAGUUGCUUCUCUGUCAUAUGCUGUGGUGUUUUUCAGGAGCUCCAGCAAUCUUGGCUGAAUGCGAUGGCUCCCAGUGCAGGGAGGGCUCGGCUCGGCGCUGCUGCGGAAUGGAAGACUGCCGCUCGCCUGCCCUUCUCUCUCUCGUCUCAGCUCAAAGCGGCACGGUUUGAGAGUCUUACCCGGCUCUCUCCAGCUAAACAGUCUGCAGGACCCUAAAGAUGCAGAGGGAAGGAUUUAGAAGAGCGGCUGUGCAAUGGUGAACAGAUUCAUCCCCAGGCACCCAAUCCAUUAUCCUGUCAACAACAGCAGGUCCCUGCCACAGUUAGCAGCAACACUGGCCGUAAUGAAAUCAUCAGUAAUCCCAAAACUCAUCUCAUCAUACCCAAGGUAAAAGUGCUUAUCUUUUCUUGGACUGUAUGAUAACAUGACAAAACAGUUAAACAACAGGCUGUGGACCUCAGUGGAAGACACAUGCUCUAGUAUACAACAGUGAAUUACCUGUAGUAGCCUACAUUUUCCUGCAGGUAAUGGAAUUUGACUUGAGAAAAUCAAAGAAAUGGAUAUGUGGAUUUUCAUUGAGGGAAAAAAUAUUCAGUUUUUACACUGUCAGAUGCUGAAACUAUUUGAUUUCAGCUCUGUUUCUGAUUUCCUGUAUUAAAAAAAGUCUUAAAUUCGCUGGGAAAUGAAAUUAAAAACCGGAAUCUCAUGUUUAUAUUCGCUGAGAAAUGUAAACUGCGAAAUUAAUUUUUAUUUAUUUAUUUAUUUAUUUUUUAUAAUUAUUUUUGACAAACAGGAUCAUGGAUCAGGAUAAUUUAUAUGGCUAACGGAAAAUAUUUUUUUCUGACGCAUUCGAGCAAUAGUGGCUUUGAGUCCCAUUGUUAUUCAAUCGGUAGGCUAUAUCCUCUGCAAGUGAUCGAGCAAAAGUUCUUAGCGCGCUUUACAAACUUGAUGAGAAUGGACAAUGUCUUGUAAUAUUUCUGUAUUCAAAGCUGGUUUAUAAUUAAAUAUUUAUUAUUCAUAUAGUUUGUUUCGAUUGCAGCAUUGAAACGCGCCUAUUAAUCAACUUAAAAAAAAAUCCGUUAGAUAGCCUAUAUGAGAAAAAAGGUGCAACAUGACAUCAAGUAGCACGUUUUUUUUGUUCACGUAGGCUAUUAGUGACUCAAAAUACCUCAAAUAAAUUAAAGUAAAAUAAGCUAAAAAAUAGCAUUGUCCUUUUCCUAUAAAUUAGUUUUACAGCACUUCUGAUUUAAUUUUAAAGACCGAACUCAUAUGCUUCAAGUAAAAAAACAGGAUAUCAUUCCAGUAGUGCGCAGUGACAUCUGAAAGAAGGUCAAACUCAAGCCUCCUUUCUUUAAUUGACCAGUGAAUAUUAUUUUACCAGUGUCAGAACCAGAGGGGACGCAACCAUUCAGCGAAAUACAAUAGGAAUAACAGACCGUGCUGAAAUUGCAUCUUCAUUUGCAUAUUCGGUUCAAAAAUCAUGCAAAUCCCAAAUGAGACGGUCUUUAUUGUGCCUGCAAUUGAAAAAUCAUUCUGUUAACCAUGGUAACUCUGGCCUUAUUCGUAGCCAGUCAGUUGAAACAAAAAAGUUAUUAAUUCAUACGGUAUGACGUUUAAAUGGACUCCGGGGCAAUGGUUAAUGGUUUGGCGACAUAUAGCCUAUAUUUGAUCUCAUAAAUGGGAGGUGAUGAUUAAAUUAAUAUUUAUUAUUAUUAUUAUUGUUUCGUUUUGGCUGUAGUGUUCAACGUAUUAUUGUUCUAUUCAUAUUUUGUUACACAAAAUACAUGUAGCCUAAUAUUAUUAUUAGGCUAUAAUUUUUUCCAAAAUGUAUUGGGCUAUUCACAACUAUUCGUAAUGUUUUUAUAUAGCCUAUCCUUUAUAUAAAUUGUAUCUUAUGUUUUUACGUUUUUUUUUUUUUUUUAUCAAGUACAAAUAGUAAAAAGUAUUGCUGUAUACAACAAUGCCUCUUUACAGGAAUAAAAACCAUUUAAAAUAUUUAUAGUUUUCCCGCAUAAUUUUGGCUCGUGGGUGUGUCGCGUGGAAGAUUAUUAGACUAUCAAGUUCACUUAUUUAAACUUUGUAGAGCGCGUACAGCACCUGAUUAGGCUGUACCCUUAUUAGAGUCGAAAAACAGUGUCUUUUGUGGCUCUGCGUGCGCUUUGCUAUAAUUUACUUCCACUUUAAUUGUUUAGGUUGAGCUAAUUAACAAGUGAAUCCACGGGCUCGGAAAAAAAAGGACUUUACACGCUGAUAAAGAAUAGAAGUCCUGUGGUGAUUUAUUGUUAGGAUAUUGUUGGUAUUUAAAUAGUUCAGCUAAUAAAAAUCUUAUAGGCUAUCUUAAAUUUCACAGCUCAAACAUGUGACACAAGUCAGUAGGCUAACGAACUGAUAUUUAUCAAUGACACGGAUAAAUAGUUUUAUAGAUUUGCAUUUACCGUUUAUUUUUGAGUGAUAAUUAACACACAAUGGCAUCCUUAUUGUAUUUAUCUGCUGCACAGUGACAGUUUUAGACUAUUCGGGUCAUUUGAACAGUGCUUAUUGCCUGCUACACUAAUGGACAAUUCACUGCUCGGCCAUCACACACGUGAGUGAUUUUCGGAAGCCUUGUGGCUCGGAGCUCAAUGAUGUUGAACACUGGGAGGCUUUCCUGGUGGUCCUCGGCCUUAGCUCACGUUAAUUGGGAAAUUUGGAGAACAGGAGCCCUCAUUACCGAGCUCCGGGUAACUGGGAGUUUUCCUUUUCCCGCUGUCUCCUACAUUUCCAUAAGCAGAUUACAAGAGGAUAUGUUCCUGAAACCACUCGGAUAAAUCACCGGUUUCGUGGAAUAAGUCUCUAAUUAGAACUUUUGUCAUAACGGCUGCUGCACCGCUAUUCAUAUUAAUGUAAAGUGAUUAAUGAUGUUCUAAAUUAAGAUUUUACUUUUUUUGCCUCCCGUGAAAACAACGGGGAAAAGAUCCACUGUUUUUGUUUUUCUCCUUGAAAAGUAGAAUUAACUUUCAUUUGUCAGUGAAAAUUUGGUUAUUUCUAUAGCCUACAAAUCACAGUAGGCUAAAAGACACUGUUAGUGUUUUAUUUGAUGUGACAAAUUAACUUGACUAGGCUAUAGGAAAAAAAAAUACUGCCGAAAUAAAAUCUUAGGAUAGCCUACUAUAAUUAAAUAAUUUAACGGGCAACGAUUUAUUAUUUUUUCUUUAUAUUAUAAUGCUUAAUUAGUACACCAGCCUAACCAGUUCACUCUUUCAAAUUGCCCUGUAAUGAAAUUCUAUGAUGAAUAAUUUAUGCCCUGCUUGUAAACCUCGGGCCUGAAUAACAACAUCGGGUAACAACACUCGCACUUGUUAAGAGUAGGCUAGUUUGGAAAGUAAAUAACGGAGACGUGUUGGUGUGCAUGUCCUACAAAUCGGUCCCACACGGUGAAACUUCUCUAAAUGGCCGAGUCGUUAGUGUGUGGUGUUAAAAGCCCAUCGUGAAUAUUCAGUAGGCUACUACUGUAAUCGUUCAGUCUCAGUGGCGGUGAAUGUGUUAAAUGGCGAUGUUCUCGAUGGACUAUGUGCUAAUACUGAUCCAUUGGAAGGUGUAAAUUCUCCCCGGGAGACAGAAACCUCUCCCAGCAGAAACGCGUCUUAGGACUCGAGUCAUUUGUAAAUCACAUAAUAAGUCGCGGAAUGAUCGCUAUUGACAGUAACUGGUGGUGUAAAAAUGUAAUAAUUAACGUACACUCCACACUGGCGUGGCUGUUGUAAAAAGUUGUUUUUAGAGGAGAUGUUUGUAGCUGCUUUUUGAUGUUUUUUUUUUUUUUUUUGCUUCAGAACAAUAUAGUAUUGGUCCACAGGGGGGCGUUACUGUAUUAAUUUUCUAUUCACUAUGUCGUCGUUGACACUUGACAAAAAGAGUAUUUUUUAAAAACAACUGUUUUUGUUGAAUGUUUGUCUUUACACAAUUAUAAUGUAAUAAUGUUAUAAUGCAAUAACAAGCUAUGCUGUUAAAUGAAAGUUAUUAAAAAAUUAUGAGACAAAGAAUUAGUUUUAUGUUAAAAUCGUAAUUAGUGUCAGUUUUAGAAGCUUUAAUUCCCACAUUAAAUUUAUGUAGGAGAUUCUUAUUUAAUAAUAAUAAUAAUAAUAAGUAAAAUCCUAUAUUAAUGGUG